rnacentral:misc_RNA from 1 species
UGGAGGAUUUGGAAUUUGGCUCGCCAGAAAAAGCAGCUUGAGGGAGAGCAAGCUCGGUGGAUGGCAAAACGCCGUCAAGAACGUGAGAGAGGUCGCAGAGAAGCAGUUGCUGAUAUGUCAGAGGAUCUAUCUGAGGGAGAGAAAGGAGAUAUAGUCACUGACAUGUCAUCUCAUGGUGAAAGUACCAGAGGCCGAUUGCCUAGAAUCAGUUCUGUUGAGACAAUGGAAGCAUGGGUCAGUCAGCAGAGAGGAAAGAAGCUCUAUAUCGUACUUAUAAGUUUACAUGGUUUAAUUCGGGGUGAGAAUAUGGAGCUUGGACGGGAUUCUGAUACUGGUGGUCAGGUGAAGUAUGUUGUUGAACUUGCGAGGGCCUUAGGAUCGAUGCCAGGUGUAUAUCGGGUUGACUUGCUUACUAGACAAGUAUCUUCGCCAGAAGUAGAUUGGAGCUAUGGUGAGCCGACAGAGAUGCUGACGCCAAUAAGUACAGACGGCUUGAUGAGUGAGAUGGGGGAGAGUAGUGGUGCUUAUAUUAUUCGCAUUCCUUUUGGACCAAGAGAGAAAUAUAUUCCAAAAGAACAGCUAUGGCCCUAUAUUCCUGAAUUUGUUGAUGGUGCACUUAACCAUAUUAUUCAAAUGUCCAAAGUUCUUGGUGAGCAAAUUGGUAAUGGCCAUCCUGUGUGGCCUGUUGCCAUACAUGGACAUUAUGCUGAUGCUGGCGACUCAGCUGCUCUCCUGUCGGGUGCUUUAAAUGUACCAAUGCUUUUCACUGGUCACUCA